rnacentral:rRNA from 1 species
UACGGGGGGGGCAAGCGUUGUUCGGAAUUACUGGGCGUAAAGGGCUCGUAGGUGGCCAACUAAGUCAGACGUGAAAUCCCUCGGCUUAACCGGGGAACUGCGUCUGAUACUGGAUGGCUUGAGUUUGGGAGAGGGACGCGGAAUUCCAGGUGUAGCGGUGAAAUGCGUAGAUAUCGUAAGGAAGACCAGUGGCGAAGGCGGGUCUCUGGGCCGACAUUGACGCUGAGGAGCGAAAGCGUGGGGAGCGAACAGG